UACGGGGGGAGCAAGCGUUGUUCGGAUUUACUGGGCGUAAAGGGCGCGUAGGCGGCGCAACAAGUCACUUGUGAAAUCUCCGGGCUUAACCCGGAGCGGUCAAGUGAUACUGUCGUGCUAGAGUGCGGAAGGGGCUACUGGAAUUCUCGGUGUAGCGGUGAAAUGCGUAGAUAUCGGGAGGAACACCUGCGGCGAAGGCGGGUUGCUGGGCCGACACUGACGCUGAGGCGCGAAAGCCAGGGGAGCGAACGGG
rnacentral:rRNA from 1 species